rnacentral:rRNA from 1 species
GACGGAGGGGGCAAGCGUUGUUCGGAAUUAUUGGGCGUAAAGGGCUCGUAGGCGGACGGGUAAGUCUGGCGUGAAAUCUCCAUCGCUCAACGAGGAGAGGUCGCUGGAUACUGCUUGUCUGGAGUACGGCAGAGGACCAUGGAAUUCCAGGUGUAGCGGUGGAAUGCGUAGAUAUCGGGAAGAACACCAAAGGCGAAAGCACUUUGCUGGGCCGAAACUGACACUGAUAGACGAAAGCUAGGGGAGCAAAUGGG